rnacentral:rRNA from 1 species
UAAACCGAAGGUCGAUAGGGAGAUUCAGUGUCUCUCGUCGCCUUCCAUUCGUCGGCGUGCGAUUGACCGGGACUUCAUUGAUCCGUGAUACGCCGUCGGCCUAUGCGUUUGGCGUCGAGGGCAUGCACUUCUCCCCUAGUAGGACGUCGCGACCCGUUGGGUGUCGGCGUACGACCGCGGCGGUAGCCUGUCACGAAUUCAUUCGCGGCAGACCCCGCGUGUUCUGGUCGACUGCCCGACGGUAUACAUGGUAUCGGGCCGCAGCUUAUGCGUUCGGCCGGUUGCAAGCGCGGACGGUUCUUUCGGCUGUCGGACCCGGUCCGGCACCGUUCCCGCCUCGUGCUGUUGGCGAUCGUGUCCUCGAACAGGCCCUGCCGGUCAGCGAUGCUAUUGCUUUGGGUACUUUCAGGACCCGUCUUGAAACACGGACCAAGGAGUCUAGCAUGUGCGCAAGUCAUUGGGUAAUACAAAACCUAAAGGCGAAAUGAAAGUAAAGGUUCGCUUUUGCGGACUGAGGGAUGAUGGUGUGCAUUCAUGUAUACCCGCAAUCCCGGGGCGUCUCACUCUCAUUACGAGAAGAGGCGCACCCAGAGCGUACACGCUGGGACCCGAAAGAUGGUGAACUAUGCCUGGUCAGGUCGAAGUCAGGGGAAACCCUGAUGGAGGACCGUAGCGAUUCUGACGUGCAAAUCGAUCGUAGGAAUUGGGUAUAGCGGCGAAAGACUAAUCGAACCAUCUAGUAGCUGGUUCCCUCCGAAGUUUCCCUCAGGAUAGCUGGCAUUCGAUGAGCGAGUCUCAUCCGGUAAAGCGAUGAUUAGAGGCCUUGGGGCCGAAACGACCUCAACCUAUUCUCAAACUUAAAUGGGUGAGAUCUUUGGCUUGCUUGAAUAGUGAAGCAGAGAUUUGGAUCAGAGUGCCUAGUGGGCA